rnacentral:lncRNA from 1 species
CGGGGCGGCGGAGGGAACGGCCCAGGCACUACUCCUCGGCCCCACUCCGCAACCCCGCUGCCCGGCCCCGCUCCGGCGCUGCCCUCCGCUGCCCUCUGCCGGCGGCCGGGCCGUGCCGGGCGCUGCUUCCUCCCGUUGCCGGAUCCCGGGGUGCGGCCGCGGGCCCGGUUCGUCCCCUCAGGGAGCUUCGGUGCGCCCUCAGCGCGGUGGGGGUCUCGUGGUGGAACGGAUCCGGCGAGUCCUGUAUUUACUUGGGGAGAGAAACGUCUUUGUAUUAUGACUAUUAUUUUAAAGUCUGAUGCUUCUUGAUCUCAACCUGUGAUGGGGUCCCUUCAGCCGUGGGGUUCAACGCCAUGCUCCUGGACAUGGGGCGAUGGGCACCAUGCAGCCGUGCCCCUCCAGCAGCAGGAGCUGCAGCGCGUGCCGCGCCGUGCUGGUGGUCCCGCGGGCCCUCCUCCCAUUGCAGUUGGCGUGAGGCUCUGUGCUUCUGCACAUCUACCUCUGGAGGCCCCCAGGGCACCUUCUGCAGCACCAGCAUCUACUGCGGAAGACCUCAAUAAUGCAUAAGAACAUCUGGAAGUACGGUAAUUUCAGCUAUCAGAGAUAAGAAUUGACACAAAACAGGUAAACCCUACAAAGUCAUCGUGUUGAAAUGAGCUGAUUAAGGUCUGCUAACAUAAAACAUCAUGUAGAGUAUUUCCAUGCUUGCUACAUCUUCCCAUUUUAUAUAUGAAAAAGGAACGCCAAUUAUUUAAUCCCUCUCGGUGUGUUUAAUAGGUUGAUUAGCUGGGAGCUAUAUUAUAUUUUUACAUAAAGAGACAGAAUAGGCUGCAAAUCUAUUGCCAUACCCAUCUAUUUAGAGUUAACUGUGAGUUCAUAGAAAAUACAUGGGCAUAGUAAACAGGGUUUUGAAAUGACAAUUUUUUACUGGUUGCAAGUGCUAAUUGCUAGUUUCUCAAGGGUAUAGAAUUAAUCACCUGCUAGAUUUACAGUCUCUAGGUUGAGACCUGAGGAUGGAGGCAAUAAGAAAAGCUCUUGAGGGACAUAUCAUAUGGUGAGUCUAAAUAUCAGUCUCUAUGCAUAUGUAAAUUGGCAACAAAGUUUUUUCAAAGCUCAAGUAUGCUAAUUUCAAACAGGCAAGACUAAAGCUAGCUUUUAGCAGCUGUUUAACGUCUGCCUGUGGGUGGUAGAGAGAGCUUAAAAUACAAGCAAACAGUGGUGCAUAAGUAAUUAAGCAACAUUUUGCCGGGCAUAAAUAAUUCUGUUUAUAUUGCUCUUUGAAGAGUAUAGAAUACAAAAUAACAGCUCAAGUGCACCUUUGGUCACCAGAGGUUAACUGCUCUUCCUCUUCACCUUUUCCUCGGUUUCCGAUUUUUUAGGGAAGAAUUAAAUGAGGGCCGGUGCUGUUCUCUGUCAUUUUGUAUAUUCAAGACCUUGGUUCACCGCGGCAGCAAAACUAAUGCUGACGAAUGUGGAACGUGCCAUUUUGGCAGCUCAGGAGCACUUCCCAGAUGAUUUCCCAUCCUAGGAUAAACUUUUCUCGUGCUAUGGAGUGGGUCUGAAAUGG